GAUAUUCAACCUGAUCCUGGUCUUAGGAAACCCAUUGAACUUAGGUCGGACCUUAGAGAUGUUGCUAGAAGGAUGUAUAUAAAUAUGGGUCCAUGCCAACCGACUGAUCAAAAAUAUAGAAAAACAAAAGGAGGGAAUUCUUCUAAAGAAAGAAGCUUUCAAGCUAGUUGGUUCAACAACCAUCUUGAUUGAUUGGAAUAUAGUGAUAAUAAAGAUGCAGCCUUUUGUUUUUAUUGCUUUCUUUUUAAGCAACCUAGAGCGGAAAAUUUUGGUAUUGAGGCAUUCACAAAGGUUGGAUUAAAUUGGAAGGAUGCAAUUAGUGCUUUUAAUACACAUGUUGGUAAACAUGAUAGUGCUCACAAUAAAUCUAGACAACAUUAUGAGGCUUUCAAAAAUCAAAGGCAAUGUGUUAUCUGAUUUCUUCUAUUACAAGCUCUACCUUUCCAUGGUCAUGAUGAGAGUUUGAUCUCUAAGAAUAGGGGAAACUUUUUGGAGUUGAUGAGUUGGUACAGGAAUAAGGAUCCAAAUGAUAAGACUUUGCUUGAUGGUGCGGGCGGGAACCAUUUGAUGACUUCACAUGAGAUAUAGUUCCAAUUGUGCCAGGCUUGUGCUGAAGAGGCCACCAAAGCCAUUAUUGCUGAUAUUGGAGACAAAAGGUUUUCUUUACUUGUUGAUGAGUCCAGAGAUGCAUCUAUAAAGGAGCAAAUGGCUAUGGUUUUAAGGUAUGUCAACGAUCAUGGGUAUACAAUUGAGAGAUUUAUUGGGAUUAAGCAUGUUGGUGACACAAGAGCAGCUUCUCUAAAGGCAGCCAUGAUGUUUCGUAAACAUGGCUUAUCUAUGUCUAAAUUGAGAGUGCAAGGGUAUGAUGGAGCUUCUAACAUGAGAGGGCAAUUUCAUGGGUUGCAACGGUUGAUACUAGAUGAAAAUCCCUAUGCAUUCUAUAUUCAUUGCUUUGCCCAUCAAUCACAAAUAGUGGUUGUUGCUGUUGCUAAGUGUUGUUCCACUGUAUUGGAUUUUUUUAACCACACAACUUUGAUUGUCAACACUGUCAAUGCUUCUUGUAAGAGACAUGAUGAACUAGCCCAACAACAUCAUGACACUAUUGUGAGCUAGUUGGAGUCUAGAGAAAUUUUUUUAGGAAGAGGGAAAACCAAGCAACCAACCUUGUAAGACUCGAAGAUACACGAAAGAACCACGACAGGUGGCUUGAUUUCUCAGAUGGAAAGUUUUGAGUUUGUUUUCAUAUUGCAUCUUAUGAUUAAACUAUUGGGUAAGACUAAUGAGUUGCCACAAUGCUUGCAAAAGAAAGAUCAGAACAUUGUUCUUGCAGUGAGUUUGAUUGGGGUCACCUUGAAAAAACUUCAAGAUAUAAGAGAAAAUGGUUGGGAUGAGCUCUUGAAAGAGACAAAUGACUCUUGUGUUAAACACACCAUUGUAUUGCCUAACAUGGAUGAUAUAAUACCAGCUCGAGGUCGUUCAAGGGGGCGUGGUGGUCAAAUGGUAACUUACUAUCACCGCUUCAGAUAUAAAAUAUUCAAUGUUGUGCAUGACCAAAUUAUUUUCGAGUUAAAUAAUUGUUUUGCCGAAAGAUCCACUCAAUUGUUGAGAUGCAUUGCUUGUCUUGAUCCAAGGAACUCCUUUAUUAAUUUUGAUGAGGAUAAACUUGUUGAACUUGCUGAGUUGUAUGCUGAUGACUUCUCCAUAUAUGAGAUCUCCUUUGUCCUUCGAAACCAACUUGAAACAUUCAUUUCUGUUGUGAGAGCUGACCCGGAUUUUGAAUGUUGUAAUGACCUUGGUAAUCUUGCUGUGAAGAUGGUUCAAACCGGUACACACACUAUUUUUCCUUUGGUAUAUCGACUCAUAGAGUUGGCAUUGAUCUUGCCGGUUGCAACCGCAUCAGUGGAAAGAGCUUUCUCGGCUAUGAGUAUUAUCAAGACCGAGUUGAGGAAUAAGAUGGGUGAUGAUUGGCUCAAUUAUAACAUGAUGUGCUAUAUUGAGCGAGAUGUAUUUGCAAGUAUUCCUGAUGAUGAUAUUUUAUAUCACUUUCAAGCCUACAGGAAUGCAGAGGGCUUUUACCUACCCUUAGAGGUAAGGUUUUAG
rnacentral:rRNA from 1 species